rnacentral:lncRNA from 1 species
GCAGGCCCUCUGUUUGCUCAGCCUGGGGUCAGUCACUGACCCAGUGCCCAGCACAAGGUGGGUGGACCCCCCAGGGGCUCUUGCUACCCUGACCAGGAGCCACGCUGAGCUACAGAUCUGAUACCUGGGUCUAUGCCAAGGGCUUGCGCUAACGCACCCUGUAUGGACUCAGCCAGGUGAGCCACGAUGGUAACAGCUGGCUUGUCAGCCUCGCCUUCCUUGCAAGAAGUUAUUGAAUAACAGCAGAGCUUUUUGAGGCAGGUGUUAAUCAUGUCCCCAUCUUACCGGUGAGGACGCUGAGUCUUGGAGCAGCUCCCAUCUGUGAGUGAGUGUUGGAGCCAGGUCUGUCUGACCUCCAAGUUGAACUUCUACUCUCCAUUCCAAGGAGAAGCGUGCUUAGGGAGGCGCUGCUUGUAGAAAAGGAUCCUGGAGAACUAUUCAUUUGCCAUCACUCAGGCUAAAAGAGCAACAGAAGAAAUGAUCAAUGAAAAACCCUCCAAAAUUUGUCAUUGGCUUGGGUUUAUCCUGCUUUAAAUCAUAACCUAAGCAGCCUGAAAUGCUAUUUCCCAAAGAUGGGAAUGAAAUUCUGGUUAUUCAGGGAAGAAGCCAAGGGCUGGGGGUUUGCAGGAGCAGUUUCCAGACUCCCAGAGUGCAGGAUCAACAGCCCUCUUUCCAGCAUCUGAAGCUCAUACGAGCUUACUGUGUGGACCCACUCAGAACCCCAGAGUUGGAAUAAAGAUUAUUUUAAACUGAAGACAUUUGAGGUUCAACAGAUGCAGAGAAAAGCCUCCUCAGAGCUUCCCUUGUCUGACUAAAAGCAGCAACUUCUGGUAAAUGAAGCUACCAUAGAUCCCUUCUCUGGGGGAGUUUCAUGGCCCUGAAGAAGAUGAAAAGACCACCUCUAUUUAUAUGGAAAAACAUCAUCACACAUCUAAAAAAAUGUCCUGUUAUCCUGAAAAAAAAUGUAUAUCCUAAAGAAGCCGUUUGUACUUCCCAUAGGAGUCUUUUCUCCCUCCUCCCUUUCCCCUACUAAGUUAGGUAUUUAAGCCCCAAGUGCUAAUCACGACUUUGAGUUACUCAUUACUGAACACUCGGGCUUGCAUAAAUAAACUCUUCUCUUCUCUUGCUAACGUAUCUUGU